GACAAAAUACCAGCGUUAGUUGCGUCUUCGCGAGAGCUCCAACGGAAGGCGGGAAUAUGCAAAACAAGCCCAAGACUAACGCUCGGAAGGGAGGCACGCGGAAGAGGAUCGACUAGAGCUUCCUUGCCCGGCCUGCUUGUUCAAGUGAGGCUCGUGCCGUUCUUUGGAGACCGGUUAUUGAGGCUCCGUUUUAGUAGCUGCAUCGUAUCCUUUUAAGCUUCUGCAACUUUGCCGCCUGCCAGCCGAUUUGGAUUUCCUUUCCCAUCAGCGUUACCCAAUUUAAAAUCCAAUGCAUCUGUUGAUGAAACGAGUUCUUAACAGAGAAGCAUUUGGAUAAAUCCCCCUAAUUUCUGCUGGCAAUUACCUUCAUGGAUCUGGACUGACAUAUUGUUACAAUGGUAGACAAAUGUAGAUAUCCAAGUUUCAGCCUCCAACAAUCUUUAUUCCAAUGAAGAGAACAAAAUGGGUUUUUAAACACAUUAACUGAUGUGGUUGCCUAGCACCCCAUCCUCCAGAAUUAUUUGAUGAAGCUAAAUCCCUUUCCUUAAAAGAGCAGUGUUUCUCAACCUUGGCAACUUUGAAGAUGUGUUGACUUCAACUCCCAGAAUUCCCCAGCCAGCAGCAAACACUGAUGUAGAGUAUCAAUUAUUGACAUGGGAUAAAUGUGUCCAA